AGUGAACGCUGGCGGUAGGCCUAACACAUACAAGUCGAACGGCAGCACAGUAAGAGCUUGCUCUUACGGGUGGCGAGUGGCGGACGGGUGAGGAAUACAUCGGAAUCUACUUUUUCGUGGGGGAUAACGUAGGGAAACUUACGCUAAUACCGCAUACGACCUACGGGUGAAAGCAGGGGAUCUUCGGACCUUGCGCGAUUGAAUGAGCCGAUGUCGGAUUAGCUAGUUGGCGGGGUAAAGGCCCACCAAGGCGACGGUCCGUAGCUGGUCUGAGAGGAUGGUCCGCCACACUGGACCUGAGACACGGUCCAGACUCCUACGGGAGGCCGCAGUGGGGAAUAUUGGACAAUGGGCGCAAGCCUGCUCCAGCCAUACCGCGUGGGCGAAGAAGGCCUUCGGGUUGUAAAGCCCUUUUGUUGGGAAAGAAAAGCAGCAGGUUAAUACCCCGCUGUUCUGACGGUACCCAAAGAAUAAGCACCGGCUAACUUCGU
rnacentral:rRNA from 1 species